rnacentral:lncRNA from 14 species
CCUGGACACAGCUCUGGUGCCUUUGUAGAAGUAAGAGCGUAAAACCAGGAGAGUCAGAACCUGGUGCAGGUCCACGGUGAGAACUGGGAUGGGAUUUGGUCCACAGACACAGCUGGAAAACCAGCGCAGGAGCAGCAUCACGGGGGCUCUGGCACACAGGAAUUCUCCAUGCUCACAGCCAGGCUGGGAGCUUCCCUUUGGCAACACGAUCCCAGCAGCCCCUUCCCGUGCAGGAGGUGAACACGUUGUGGUUCUUCCUCUCAUUGUUCUCCCUACAGAGAAAACUGGAUCUGGCUUCGAGCACCGGGGGCCUGGAGCCCGCUGUGGGGCAGACACGGGCUGCACUGGGGAGACUGGAGCAGUUCCUGCGAGCAGCUGGUCCCAAGGGGCCACUGACGAUGGAGCUGGCAGCAAGAGACUUCUCCUACACCCUGGCAAGGAUCUACACAGGAGCUCUUCUAAUUGAACACGCAGCUCGGCCUGGUGCUUCCUGCACAGACAUCGCUGCUGCUCGAAGGUGGUGCAGUCAGGAGCUGUGUCCCGUGGCCGUGGAGCUGGACAAUGGCAGCUAUGAGGCGGAUGCAGCGCUGGUGGAUGCGGUGCUGGUGGACGNNNNNNNNNNNNNNNNNNNNAGGGGCCAGGCCAAAUCUGCCUGAGCCACCCCAACCUGCUCCAGUGCAACACCGCGGCUUCAUGCCAUCAUCAGCUGCCACUGCCACAGCCUCGAGAUGCAGUGAGGCAUGGACAUGGGCUUCCCAUGCCCUGAAGCAGCAGCUCUGCAGGUACCAAUGGGUGUUCUUUGCAGUGAC